rnacentral:lncRNA from 1 species
AAUUUUUGAAGUCCUGCAGAGUUGAAGUAGAAUGUUUUCUAUUUGAAACAUUCUGAAUUCUGAAUUAUGUGCAGCAUGAUGUCUAAAAGCUAAGCUGAGUAGAAUUUUGGCAGUCUUGCAGCACUGAAGAGAUAAAGAUUAGAAUUCAGGGCCGGGCACGGUGGCUCAAGCCUGUAAUCCCAGCACUUUGGGAGGCCGAGGCGGGUGGAUCACGAGGUCAACAGAUCGAGACCAUCCUGGUCAACAUGGUGAAACCCCGUCUCUAUUAAAAAUACAGAAAAAAUUAGCUGGGCAUGGUGGCGUGUGCCUGUAAUCCCAGCUACUCGGGAGGCUGAGGCAGGAGAAUUGCCUGAACCCAGGAGACGGAGGUCGCGUGAGCAAUCUGCAAUGAAGAAAAAUUAUUUAAGAGUGGAUGCUGUUCUUCAUAAAAUCACAAUUUGGUAAGCCAGUAAACAUACUUGAAACUAUCAAUAUAUUAAAAAUUGUAUUUAAAUACUAGUUUAAUUAGAAAACAGACAUUUAAAUAUGUUAUCACAACCUGACACUUUCAAGGACUUAAAAAACUACUUCUUUAUUGAUAUAAAUUUCUGAAUACUAUUAGUUGAUAACUGCAUAAUAUUACUACUGUA